GUCUUGUCAAUGAUGUUGCAAACACAAAUGUCUGAACAUAUGAAUUCUAUUGAUUCCAAUUUUUUUCUGAGACAAGAC